AUUGAACGCUGGCGGCAGGCCUAACACAUGCAAGUCGAGCGGAGCGGCGGACGGGUGAGUAAUGCCUAGGAAUCUGCCUGGUAGUGGGGGAUAACGUCCGGAAACGGUCGCUAAUACCGCAUACUAUCAGAUGAGCCUAGGUCGGAUUCGCUAGUUGGUGGGUUAAAGGCUUACCAAGGCGACGAUCCGUACCUGGUCUGGGAGGGUGAUCAGUCAAACGGGAACUGAGACACGGUCCAGACUCCUACGGGAGGCAGCAGUGGGGAAUAUUGGACAAUGGGCGAAAGCUUGAUCCAGCCAUGCCGCGGGUGUGAAGAAGGUCUUCGGAUUGUAAAGCACUUUAAGUUGGGAGGCGUUACCAACAGAAUAAGCACCGGCUAACUUCGUGCCAGCAGCCGCGGUAAUUC
rnacentral:rRNA from 1 species